rnacentral:rRNA from 1 species
UGGGGACCUGCGGCUGCCGCAGGCCCUGAAAACCAGUGGCGGGCUCGCUCGUCACUCCGAGCGUAGUAGUUACAUCUCGCUCCGGGCGUGCUGCGGGGUCCGGCCGUUAAAAACCUUUUUUUCCCCAGGUUGACCUCGGAUCAGGGAGGAAGACCCCCUGAACUUAAGCAUAUCAAUAAGCGGAGGGNUGGGGACCUGCGGCUGCCGCAGGCCCUGAAAACCAGUGGCGGGCUCGCUAGUCACUCCGAGCGUAGUAGUUACAUCUCGCUCAGGGCGUGCUGCGGGUUCCGGCCGUUAAAAGCCUUAUUUACCCAAGGUUGACCUCGGAUCAGGUAGGAAGACCCGCUGAACUUAAGCAUAUCAAUAAGCGGAGGA